CUUCGGGGCUUCCUGAUCCAGCCCUGGGCCCAUUUCCCUGAGGGGCUGCUUCCCAUCUUAUCCACAGCCCCUCCCCGAUGAGCCCCGACUUCUGUGCCAAACACAGGGAGAGGUGGAGCCUUCAGGCAGAGAUGGUGACACAAUUGACCGAAGGCACUGGGUGAGCGGCGCCUGCCUGCCUCUGGGUGCUGUUGACACUGGGCCGGCAGCCCCUUGAGUGCUGCACGCAGCCUUCUCAGACCCCAACACAUGAGCACUGAAGGACAACCUUCCUCAAGUCUAUGCACAGCACCCAGCGCCAGACCUGGUAUACAACAAGCACUCAAUAAGGGGUGGCUGAAAUGAAAGGAUGGACAGCAAAUACCUGCCCCGGAGUUUGAGGCCCUGCAUGCUUUGCAGGGAAGCUGCACUUGAAGCCCCGGGCACUCUCCCCGCUGCACCUCGCCUGGCCCUCAGCCUCAGGGUCAGGGGCUCGGGGCCCCGGGCAGCAAACUCCUGUGAAGACUGUGUGUUUGCCGCUCUGAGCCCAGCUUCUGCACCCACGGCCACCAAAAAACUUAGGAAUGAGCCCCUACCGCAUCCACAUGGGCCAGCCCAUGGCUCUAGAAGAGAGGGGACAGCCCUACCCUGACAGUCCUCAUGUUGCUGGGACUCCACCGGCCAUUUCGUGGCCUGGCCUCAGCUUCCGCGGCCUGUGUCGGGCUGAGGCUCUCUAACUCGCCUGGAUGAUACGCGGCUGGCUGAAACAAAGGGACCCCAAUGUGGGCACAUGGACAGGCGCCCCUGGCUGCAGAAUGCCAGCACGUGGAGCUCCUGCAAGGCAGGGACGUCUGUGGCGAGGUCAGCUGUGGGCCCAGAGGCCAUGCGGGCCUUGACUGAAGGCUCCCAUGGAAGGUGUGGCUGGGCCAUGGUCCUUCUGCACUUCUAAAGGUGGGUGUUAGACAACCUGAUGCCCAGCAGCCUGUCUGUCCCACAAAGCACCUUCCACAGAACACAGCGCCCCUCUGGGAGCCACAGACCCUCCUCCUCACCUUUUUCUUUUCUUUCCCUCUUUCCCUAAAAGGAAGUCCUGGUUUGGAGACUCUGAAACCCCUCUGCAUUCCCAAGACAUGCUCUUAGGCAUAAAUUCAUUUCUGUUGGGGUCUUUCUCGUGCUCUCUCCAGGAGGCUGGGGCAAAUCCUAAGCAAAUCCGGUGGCUCCAGCACCAGGGCUCGUGGGAGACAGGGUGAGCAUCUCCCCAUCACUCCAGGUGCCCACCCUGGGCCCGGCUUCCUCCACUCCCCUUCCGGGACCCUUUGGAACAUUGCCGAAUACAGCAUCGAGACUGUGGAGAGGCCCACUAAAGCCUGGGAAGAUGUUAGCCUGGGCUUCUGACAGGGACGCUCCCUCCUGUAAUCGGCAUUCCAACCCCAGUGUCAGCAGGGCUGUGACCAGAAUAACCAAGUCUCAUGAAAGACCCAGGCUGCCUGCUGCCCUGACAUGCGCUGCUUCCUGUGCUGCUCCCUCAGCCCGCGGUGCAGGUGGACAACUGGCUCAGACACUUCACCAGCUCAGGGCGAGUCUCCCAGGAUUCAGCUGGGACCGGAGAACCUUCUCCUUUCUUAAGGCCGUCUCUUUUGUUUGAGGUCUCCUCCAUGGCCACUAGAAGUGGACCUAGGAAUCCACAAGGUGAAGGAGACGUCAGGAAGAUUCUCCUCCAUAGCAGAUGGGAUGGCAUGAACACGGCUCAGGGGACACGAGGCAAGGUCUGAAGACACUUCUGGCUGUCACACUGGGAAAGGGACAAGGAUGGCCUCCUUGGAAGGAGCCAGGGAGACAGUGCACAGGACACCCUGCAACUCAGAGCCACCUGACCCUGGAGGUGAAUGUGCCCAGGCUUAGAAGCCAGACUCAGAUCACCACCACCAAGACGCACUGCUCGAGUCAUGGUCACAACUUUAAGACACAAGAAGUGAGACAUUGGGGGGAGAUCUCCCUCCAGGAGCAUCCUGCUUAUGGUAAGGACAGCUGCUUCAUAUGACUUCACCAUAAAACCCCUUAGAGCCCACCACCUGGCUUGCAUCAUACCUGCAGGCAGAGAGGCACUAGCAGAACACCAAGGGGCUGAGGGGACAUUCACCCGAGACGCCCUUUAGUGAGCAGAGACCCCGGCCGACAGCUAACAUCAAAUGCAACAAGAUUCCACAGAAGCUAACUUUUUACCAUCUGGAACAUAGAGUCCCAUACGGGUGCAUCCACCCGAGUCCACAGCAUCGGAGCUGUGACGUGCGGUAAUGCAAUAAUGUUAUUUUUGAGAUCUGUUACAGUAUAAAAUGUGCACACUCUCAGUCUUUAAUAUUAAUAAGUCUUGUAACUAGCAGUUUCAAGCUCCGAAUUCUUGAGCACAACUAGAAAGGGCACUUAUCCUGAAAAAUCUAAUAAAUUUACAGUUUUAUAUACUUCCUUCAAUUGUAAAAGUCUUGUUCAAUAAACUUUAAAAUGCCACUAUAGAGCAAUAACACAGACAGUAUAAACCCAGCCCUGGGAAAGCUGUGCAACCAGAAAUUGUUCCCCUUUCUGCUAGAGCAAUAAAGUUUUAUAUGUUUGAACUGA